rnacentral:rRNA from 1 species
UACGAACUGUGCGAACGUUAUUCGGAAUCACUGGGCUUACAGGGUGCGUAGGCGGCUUGUUAAGUAGGGUGUGAAAGCCCCCGGCUCAACCGGGGAAUUGCGCUCUAAACUGGCGAGCUAGAGUGAGAUAGGGGUGUGUGGAACUUCCGGUGGAGCGGUGAAAUGUGUUGAUAUCGGAAGGAACGCCGGUGGCGAAAGCGACACACUGGAUCUUGUCUGACGCUGAGGCACGAAAGCCAGGGGAGCGAACGGG